GAUAUGUCACUACAUAACGUUCCCGUGGCAACAGGGGAAAAUGGCUGCUUCUUGUGUAAAGUAAACACUUUUUGAACUUUCUGCUAAGAUACAUUAGGGAACUUUUUUG